rnacentral:misc_RNA from 1 species
CUGCUUAGUUUGUGUCUCCUCGCCGCUGUUCUCCUCUUGCUGCCCGUGUUGUUGACGAUGCGGUUCAUUAUCGCUCUGGGAUCCGUUGUCUAGCUAAGUGCCACCUUUUAACCAGCAAUGAAGAAAGACCCUACGCAGGGCGGCCGUGCCUCCCUUUCUCCUCCUCUCUCGCGUCGCCCUCUGUGCGCGUGCGCGUCUCUGUGUCACGCUGUCUCUCUUCUCUUCUCUCUUCCUUUUUUUUUCCUUCCUCUAAAGGAUCCAGAGAAGGAAAACCAACCAAAAAGCAACACACACAAAGAGCAGCAGCGCACACGACGGCAGCUGCGGAGUCGUCAUACUGCCAGUUUCUAUUUCCCUGCCUAGCCAGCCAUUCACAAGCGGAAUGACGCUGGCUAUCAAGCAGCAUCCACCCCUCCCUCUCACCACCCUUCGAGUGACGACGGAGUCGAGCAAGAAGGAGUUUUUGCGCUGAAGCGUAGCCUUUUCUUGUCUUUGCCACGCGCGCGCCUCGCGCUCCCGAUCAUGUACGCCUUUUCAUGUGCGACGGUAACGCGGAACUUUUCUGCCUCGCAAGAGUUGUCCUCACUACUGUACUUAUGGAGUGUCGUUCCCGGGGUAUGAGCAAGCGGAGCGUGGGUGAGACCGGUGGCGAGUGGGUGGAAGAGGGGCUGACCGCAUCAUUGACCUCGAAGCGACGUCUGCAGCCCUGCUGUCGUCCCUCGCGCACGAAGACACACAAGAAGAGACACACGCGUGUGCUUCCGCGGCUGCUUCAUUUGCGUACGAAAUCGAAUCGCAUAUUCUCGUGCCUUGCUCAAGCUCUCCUCACUCGCUGCUCUUUUCCGUGUGCCCCAACACCUCCUGCUUUCCUUUCUCACGUGCAUUGGCACCGUUGCUGUUCGAGUCAUUCGUGCACCUGACACACACACACACACACACACACGCACAGGCAGACCGACAGACAGGUACGUGAUCGCUACUGCCUCUUCAACUUCCUCUGCGACGAGAUCUCCCUCGCGGGGCUUGUACUGGGCUGUGCUGCACGAGGAGAUGUGCUACCCAUUUUUUCCCCUUCUGCCUCACCGCCAAGCCUUGUGCUUUCCAGCGUCGUCUCGCCGCUGCCGCUCUCUCGUUGACUGAAGCUGUUUUGACUUGCUUACGCUUCCUUACAUGGAGGCGCGAGCACGCAUACGCAUAGACGCUUGUAUGAGUGCAUACGGCGGUGGUGGCUUGCCUUGCAGAGUGAAUACAGACGUCCGCCAACAGUCCUCUGCCCCUGCGACCUCCUCUGCUUCAACCCCUUUUUUUUUCGUUGAAUGAUUCUUCGGUCCACCCCCUUCUCCUCCCAGACGGCGAGAGCCGGCGCGAAGCACCGGUGUAUAUCGAGUGCAGGUGCUUACUUUCGUUGUGCUGAUACACCACGCAAUGCGCUUCGCCCUCCAUUAUCAUCGACACUCUUCUUUCUUCAUGUUGUCCACUCGUAUUCCUGCCUUGACCCUUCUUUCCAUCACUGCCAGUGUCUUCGAGCUAGCCCCACCACAUCCAAGCCCCGCUCCAAUCUCCGCCAGGUGAGGUAGGAAAGCCAGCAGGAUGGGUGGCUUAGC